rnacentral:rRNA from 1 species
UACAGAGGUCUCAAGCGUUGUUCGGAUUCAUUGGGCGUAAAGGGUGCGUAGGUGGCGUGGUAAGUCGGGGUGUGAAAUUUCGGAGCUUAACUCCGAAACUGCAUUCGAUACUGCUGUGCUUGAGGACUGGAGAGGAGACUGGAAUUUACGGUGUAGCAGUGAAAUGCGUAGAGAUCGUAAGGAAGACCAGUGGCGAAGGCGGGUCUCUGGACAGUUCCUGACACUGAGGCACGA